GGACUCUGAGAGCUAUAUGUUUGGACCCUAUAAGAUUGAUUCAAAGGAAGUGUUUUACUAUAAGGAGAAUGUUUCAAUAUCGGGCAACGUUGGGCUACUAGCUGCGGCGAGGGUGUUGGAGCUUCUGAAAAUCCUUUCAAGGGAAUUUUUACUGCGCUUCCCAAGCCCGGAGGAAGCGAGUUUGGAGAAAUUUGCUCAAGAAGAAGCUAGCUGAUGCUGAUGUAUCAGAUGAAGAUCAAAAUUACCUAUUCAAAUUUUUAGAGAAGAAGGAAACUGAAUAUAUGCGCAUUCAGAGACACAAAAUGGGUGCUGAUGAUUUUGAGUUAUUGACAAUGAUUGGAAAGGGUGCUUUUGGGGAGGUUGAGAAUGUUAAGCAACAUUGUUUUCCUAAUGCUUUUAAUUGUCCCAUGCUGGAAGAGAAUGACUUCAGAAAUGACAGUGUGAGUUGCUUUUGAUUUCGUUUUAUUUUUAGGGCUAGAGAAAGUCUUCCUAUUAUUUCACACAAUUACAAAAAUCUAUAGUUCUAUGAGAGCCAUAUGUGGUGUUGGUGUGGUUAAGGGAUUCGGAAAGACCCUGUACAUGACCAAGGGUGGUGGUGCUAAUGUAGUAGCCUACAGUUACACCAAGGGUGAUGCCCUAGGUGCUGAAAUUGUCGUUACCUCUGUGCUCGUUUACAAUAUUUUCUCUACUACUGAUGCCAAACAUAAAGCUAGAGACUCACUAGUUCUUGUAAGCAUUCCGCCUGUCUUUGUAAGCUUGUUUCUCUUGACAUUAUUGAUUAGACUGAAGCGAAUAUAAAUCAUUCUUCAUAUUAGGUAUGAUUAAAUGUGAUUGAGCUUGAACAAGGAUUGUCUUCUGUAUAUAUAAGAAUCUCUGUUUAGGUUUGGAUUUGAGUUUAUGUAUAUUCUAUAUAUUCAUUUUACUCUAUUUACGACAUUUCUUGAUUACUAAGAUAAAUCAAUAUCUUUGGCUGAUGAGUGUGUGUUAAUAUAAGUGGUUCCUCGCCUAUCAUAUUCUCAAACGUCCUUGUUCGGAGCAUAUUUGGCUAAGCUUAAGCUUUACUUGUAUUUAUUAGGUAAA